GAUGAACGCUGGCGGCGUGCCUAAUACAUGCAAGUCGAGCGAACAGACGAGGAGCUUGCUCCUCUGACGUUAGCGGCGGACGGGUGAGUAACACGUGGAUAACCUACCUAUAAGACUGGGAUAACUUCGGGAAACCGGAGCUAAUACCGGAUAAUAUAUUGAACCGCAUGGUUCAAUAGUGAAAGACGGUUUUGCUGUCACUUAUAGAUGGAUCCGCGCCGCAUUAGCUAGUUGGUAAGGUAACGGCUUACCAAGGCAACGAUGCGUAGCCGACCUGAGAGGGUGAUCGGCCACACUGGAACUGAGACACGGUCCAGACUCCUACGGGAGGCGGCAGUAGGGAAUCUUCCGAAAUGGGCGAAGGCCUGCCGGAGCAACGCCGCGUGAGUGAUGAAGGUCUUCGGAUCGUAAAACUCUGUUAUUAGGAAAGAACAAAUGUGUAAGUAACUAUGCACGUCUUGACGGUACCUAAUCAGAAAGCCACGGCUAACUACGUG
rnacentral:rRNA from 1 species